AACGAACGCUGGCGGCAUGCCUAACACAUGCAAGUCGAACGAGACCUUCGGGUCUAGUGGCGCACGGGUGCGUAACGCGUGGGAACCUGCCCUUAGGUUCGGAAUAACUCCCCGAAAGGGGUGCUAAUACCGGAUAAUGUCUUCGGACCAAAGAUUUAUCGCCUUUGGAUGGGCCCGCGUUGGAUUAGCUAGUUGGUAGGGUAAAAGCCUACCAAGGCGACGAUCCAUAGCUGGUCUGAGAGGAUGAUCAGCCACACUGGGACUGAGACACGGCCCAGACCCCAGGGGGAAGGGGGGGGGGGGAAAAUAGGGGAGGGGGCCAAAGGCAGCUCCGCCAAGGGCGGGGGGGUGGUGAAGGGUUUGGGGUGGAAAUGCUCUUUUCACGGGGCGUAAAAGACGGGAACGGGGAGAAAAGCCCCGGCUAAACCCGUG
rnacentral:rRNA from 1 species